rnacentral:rRNA from 1 species
GUGGGGAAUCUUCCGCAAUGGACGAAAGUCUGACGGAGCAACGCCGCGUGAGUGAUGACGGCCUUCGGGUUGUAAAGCUCUGUGAUCGGGGACGAAUGGCUGGUAUGCUAAUACCAUAUCAGAGUGACGGUACCCGAAUAGCAAGCCACGGCUAACUACGUGCCAGCAGCCGCGGUAAUACGUAGGUGGCAAGCGUUGUCCGGAAUUAUUGGGCGUCAAGCGAGCGCAGGCGGCUUCUUAAGUCCAUCUUAAAAGUGCGGGGCUUAACCCCGUGAUGGGAUGGAAACUGGGAGGCUGGAGUAUCGGAGAGGAAAGUGGAAUUCCUAGUGUAGCGGUGAAAUGCGUAGAGAUUAGGAAGAACACCGGUGGCGAAGGCGACUUUCUGGACGACAACUGACGCUGAGGCGCGAAAGCGUGGGGAGCAAACAGGAUUAGAUACCCGGGUAGUCC